AACCCGUCUUGAAACACGGACCAAGGAGUUCAACAUGCACGCUAGUUGUUGGGUUACCCGAAACCCGCUAGCGUAGUGAAAGCAAGUCACGGCUUUGCCGUGUAUUUGGCGAGAUCCUGCUCUCGGUCGUGUCAAAGCGACCGGGGUGGGCGCAUCGCCGGCCCACCAUAUGCUCACGUGGCUGUGGUGGAGCUUGAGCGUGCGCGUUGAGACCCGAAAGAUGGUGAACUAUGCCUGGACANNNNCGGCGGUGGCGUCGAAGGCUUACGGGCGUGAGCCCGGCUGGAGCCGCCGUCGGUGCAGAUCUUGGUGGUAGUAGCAAAUACUCAAGCGAGAACCUUGAGGACUGAAGUGGAGAAGGGUUCCAUGUGAACAGCAGUUGAACAUGGGUCAGUCGAUCCUAAGGCAUCGGCGAAAGCCGUUCAGAAGCGGUGUAGAUUGCGGCACUUGUUGCCGUAGGUCUGUGUUGUGCUCUCGGGUGUGACAUACGAUCACUGCACCUGCCGAAAGGGAAUCGGGUUAAUAUUCCCGAACUCGGCAUCGGAUAUUGCCUCGGUCGGUUCGCCGGCAGAGGACAUGCGGUAACGCAAAUGAACUCGGAGACGCUAACACGUGCCCUGGGAAGAGUUGUCUUUUCUUCAUAAGGCGCAGGCUCCCUGGAAUCGAAUCACUCGGCGAUAGGGAGAUGGCGUCCGUAGAGCACCGCGGUUCUUGCGGUGUCCGGUGCGCACGUGUUGGUCCUUGAAAAUCCGAGGGAGAGUGUGAUUUUCGUGCCGAAUCGUACCCAUAUCCGCAGCAGUCUCC
rnacentral:rRNA from 1 species